rnacentral:lncRNA from 1 species
AUCUACUUGUGACGACACAAAUCUAACUGUUGACCUGUUCUUCUUGGAAGUAACUUCCAUAAUCGAUCAUGCAUUCCCUUUCUUGUGAAACACUGUGCACUCCAAUCCACAACACAUCCUUUUUAUCAAAGAAGAUACCUCGUCUAGUUCUUAGUGAAAAUUAUUAUUACAUCUGAGCGAAUGACGGCACUGGCCCUGUCAUAGUAACAAAGAUAUAAUCCAUCAGAAGGGGGGAAAAAGAAGUUAAACCCAUUUAUUCAUUGUAUCAACAAGGUGAAAAAGGUGCAGAAAAAGCGUAUGGUACAAACCUGUUGACGUUUCCCAUAUUUAUUAUUCCAGUGGAGCAAAAAGGUUCAAUUGAUUUCAUCCUGGCAGGCUUUUAUGGAGGGAUUCCAGUAUUAAAUAAAUAAUGAGUUGCCCAACCAAUCUACUGAAGAACCUAGGGGACAUGGAGGUAAGGUAAGUACAAGAAAAUCACAGAAGAACAUUAAACCUCACUUUUCUUCCUCAGAUGGAUCUCAAUGCAAGUUAGAAACCAAGCGUGUAAAAAACAACCGAUUUCUGGCUUGCAUGACCUCAUCAAUCAGCCUAAAAUAAUAUUUAUAUAUUUAUAAAUAUACCUGGCUUGCACGACUUCAUUUCAUUAACCUAAAAUAGUAUUCAUAUAGUAUACUUAUUACCGUUUCAUAACGGAUGAAGAGGGCCUAUUACAUAUUUGUACAUGCUUAGUAAUCCUUUUAAU